UUCCGUAUGUGAACCUGCGGAAGGAUCAUUCGCACAUGUUCCAAACACACCACUGUGAAUUGUUCUGUGAGGGUCUGUGUGGGGAUGGCCAUGUGCGUGCCCCCAGGCAGAUGCUCAUGGGUGGUGGGGCGAUUUGAAUCAUCUUCAUGGUGAUUUCUCUUCGUUCCCGCUGCCGCUUCGCUGUUUUGCAGUUUCUUGCUGUCAGUUCGUCAUCUUUGGCUCUUGCCAACUGUGACCUUUACAACUUUCAGCGAUGGAUGUCUCGGUUCGAUCAACGAUGAAGGGCGCAGCGAAGUGCGAUAAGCAUUGUGAAUUGCAGAAUUCCGUGAACCGACAGGGACUUGAACGCAUAUUGUGCUUUUGGGAUAUCCCCGAAAGCAUGCCUGCUUCAGUGUCUAUGCUUUGUUGUUCCAGUUGCUGUGGCUCCUUGUGGGCAAGCUUCUGCGAGUGCUUGUGCCUCAGGAUGUGCUCUGGCACUCUUGAGGCAUUUGAUUCACAGGGCUCUGCUGCAACAGCCAGCUUACUAAGCAUCUCGUGUGCCAGUGGCUGCGCUGCGUGCGGCAACUGCUCUCCUCCCGCCGCUUGAUGUCCUCAAGCACUCAAGACAUGAAGUUAGGUUGGCAAACCCGCUGAAUUUAAGCAUAUC
rnacentral:rRNA from 1 species